UAUAGCUCAGUGGUAGGGCAUUUGCCUUGCAUGCAUGUGGCUCUGAGUUUAAUCCCCAGUA
rnacentral:tRNA from 1 species